rnacentral:rRNA from 1 species
GAUGAACGCUGGCGGCGUGCUUAACACAUGCAAGUCGAACGGGAUCCAAGGGGUGCUUGCACUUUUUGGUGAGAGUGGCGAACGGGUGAGUAACACGUGAGUAACCUGUCCUUUUCUUUGGGAUAAGCAUUCGAAAGGGUGUUUAAUACCUUAUGUUCUGUCUGCCUCGCAUGGGGUGGGUGGGAAAGGCUUUGGCCGGAUUUGGGUGGGCUCGCGGUCUAUCAGCUUGUUGGUGGGGUGAUGGCUUACCAAGGCUUUGACGGGUAGCCGGCCUGAGAGGGUGGGCGGUUCAAUUUGGACUGAGAUACGGCCCAGGCUCCGGCGGGAGGCAGCAGUUGGGGAUAUUGCACAAUGGGCGAAAGCCUGAUGCAGCGACGCCGCGUGGGGGAUGAAGGCCUUCGGGUUGUAAACUUCUUUUGCUCUGAACAAGGCAUGCCAGUGGGUGUGUUGAGUGUAGGGGUUGAUUAGCGCCGGCUAACUACGUG